AAUCCUGACACAGGGAGGUAGUGACAAGAAAUAACGGGUCGGGGCAUUUGCCUCGGGAUUGCAAUGAAUCGAAUUUACACCCCUUAAUGAGGAUCAAUUGGAGGGCAAGUCUGGUGCCAGCAGCCGCGGUAAUUCCAGCUCCAAUAGCGUAUAUUAAAGUUGUUGCAGUUAAAAAGCUCGUAGUUUGAUUUCUGGACGGGCGCUAACACCCGCUUGUUUAGUGAGGGGUCGGCGCCCGCCCAUCCUUCUGUUAACGCCACCGGCAUUCACUUGCUGGCGGCGGGCUCAGAUAUUUUACCUUGAGAAAAUUAGAGUGUUUCAGGCAGGCUUGCGCCUAGAUACAUUAGCAUGGAAUAAUAGAAUAGGACUUUGGCCUCUUCUGUUGGUCUGAGGGGUUAGAGUAAUGAUUAAUAGGGAUAGUUGGGGGCAUUAGUACUUAACUGCUAGAGGUGAAAUUCUCAGAUUUGUUAAAGACUAACUUAUGCGAAAGCAUUUGCCAAGGA
rnacentral:rRNA from 1 species